rnacentral:rRNA from 1 species
GAUGAACGCUGGCGGCGUGCUUAACACAUGCAAGUCGAACGAAGCACUUUACUUGAUUUCCUUCGGGACUGAUUAUUUUGUGACUGAGUGGCGGACGGGUGAGUAACGCGUGGGUAACCUGCCUUGUACAGGGGGAUAACAGUUGGAAACGGCUGCUAAUACCGCAUAAGCGCACGGCAUCGCAUGAUGCAGUGUGAAAAACUCCGGUGGUAUAAGAUGGACCCGCGUUGGAUUAGCUAGUUGGUGAGGUAACGGCCCGCCAAGGCGACGAUCCAUAUCCGACCUGAGAGGGUGACCGGCGACAUUGGGACUGAGACACGGCCCAAACUCCUACGGGAGGAAGCAGUGGGGAAUAUUGCACAAUGGGCGAAAGCCUGAUGCAGCGACGCCGCGUGAGCGAAGAAGUAUCUCGGUAUGUAAAGCUCUAUCAGCAGGGAAGAUAAUGACGGUACCUGACUAAGAAGCACCGGCUAAAUACGUGCCAGCAGCCGCCGUAA